rnacentral:rRNA from 1 species
GACGAACGCUGGCGGCGUGCUUAACACAUGCAAGUCGAACGAAGUGGCGAACGGGUGAGUAAUACGUGAGUAACCUGCCCUCCUUUUUGGGGUAAGCCUUGGAAACGGGGUCUAAUACCGGAUAAAGGGGGAUGGGCGCGCGGCCUAUCAGCUUGUGGGUGGGGUGAUGGCCUACCAAGGCGGUACCGGGUAGCCGGCCUGAGGGGGUGACCGUGCAAAUUGGACCUGGUCUACGGCCCAGACUCAUACGGGAGGCAGCAGUGGGGGAUAUUGCACGAUGGGCGAAAGCCGCAUUCACCGACGCCGCGUGGGGGAUGUAGGCUUUCGGGUUGUAAACCUCUUUCGCUAUCGAACCGGUAGGUGGAGAAGAAGCGCCGGCUAACUACGUGCCAGCAGCCGCGGUAAUUC